ACUCGGUACUUCUUUCAAUACUCUUAUGAGUUCGUUUAAUAAUUUUUAACUUACUAUAUGUUUUACAUUUGUCAAAAUCACCAGUCUGGAAAUUAAUCCUAAACUACUCAUUAAGCUAACAUAUCUACUAUUGAUAUGACACAAACGAGCAUGUCAAAAAUUCAUAAAAGAAAGCAUGUAAGCAUAAAUAGAUAAUACUUCAGUCUCAAUAUUUAGUUUAGACAUUCCGUCGCAUGUAUAACCUUUACCUACAAACUUUCCAUUCUUAAAAAUCACAUAUUUAUUAAGAAGAAAACUUAACAUCACGUUUUCCUAAUCGAAGCUGUAUACAGUACAUCUUUCAAAAUAAGCACCAUUCCAAAAGAAAAUUUUAACUCGACCUCACCACUCCGUAAAACUUUAGAAGUAAGAGAAUCACCAAGUAUA
rnacentral:lncRNA from 1 species